AAUUUAGGAAGGAAAUCUGGAGACAGGUGCUGCAUGGCUGUCGUCAGCUCGUGUCGUGAGAUGUUGGGUUAAGUCCCGCAACGAGCGCAACCCUUGCCUUUAGUUGCCAGCAGUUCGGCUGGGCACUCUAAAGGGACUGCCGGUGUUAAACCGGAGGAAGGUGGGGAUGACGUCAAGUCCUCAUGGCCUUUAUGACCAGGGCUACACACGUACUACAAUGGCCGAUACAAAGGGCAGCGACAUUGCGAAAUGAAGCCAAUCCCAUAAAAUCGGUCUCAGUCCGGAUUGGAGUCUGCAACUCGACUCCAUGAAGUUGGAAUCGCUAGUAAUCGUGGAUCAGCAUGCCACGGUGAAUACGUUCCCGGGCCUU
rnacentral:rRNA from 1 species